rnacentral:rRNA from 1 species
GACGAACGCUGGCGGCGUGCCUAAUACAUGCAAGUAGUACGCAGUUGCGAACGGGUGAGUAACGCGUCGGUAACUGCCUAUUAGAGGGGGAUAACUAUUGGAACCGAUAGCUAAUACCGCAUACUAGUAGAUGGACCUGCGUUGUAUUAGCUAGUAGGUAGGGUAAUGGCCUACCUAGGCGACGAUACAUCGCCGACCGGAGACGGUGAUCGGCCACACGGGGACGGAGACACGGCCCAGACGCCUACAGGAGGCAGCAGUAGGGAAUCUUCGGCAAUGGGGGGAACCCUGACCGAGCAACGCCGCGUGAGUGAAGAAGGUGUUCGGAUCGUAAAGCUCUGUUGUUAAGGAAGCGGUACUUAACCAGAAAGGGACGGCUAACUACGUGCCAGCAGCCGCGGUAAUAC